AGGUCAUUUCAAAGAGGGCUUGCGGGACUAAAACCAAGAGCUCUUAACGCUGUGACCAAAUAUUAGAGUUCUCCAUAGGAUGUAAUAGUUACUCAAUAGUGCUAUGUUUUCCUGAGGAGAUACAAGA
ensembl:snoRNA